UACGUAGGGACCAAGCGUUGUUCGGAUUUACUGGGCGUAAAGGGCGCGUAGGCGGCGUGGUAAGUCACUUGUGAAAAUCUCUGAGCUUAACUCAGAACGGCCAAGUGAUACUGCUGUGCUAGAGUGCAGAAGGGGGCAACUGGAAUUCUCGGUGUAGCGGUGAAAUGCGUAGAUAUCGAGAGGAACACCUGCGGCGAAGGCGGGUUGCUGGGCUGACACUGACGCUGAGGCACGAAAGCGUGGGGAGCAAACAGG
rnacentral:rRNA from 1 species